rnacentral:sRNA from 1 species
CUCACGGAUCUCUCUGACUUGAGCCGUUUCACACACUUCCUUUGUUUGCUCCAUUUCUCGACUCUCUCUAGAGGUCCCGUCUUUGAUUACCGAUAUUGGCUAAUCUCUCUCUCUCUU